GACGAACGCUGGCGGCGUGCUUAACACAUGCAAGUCGAACGGAAAGGCCCUGCUUUUGUGGGGUGCUCGAGUGGCGAACGGGUGAGUAACACGUGAGUAACCUGCCCUUGACUUUGGGAUAACUUCAGGAAACUGGGGCUAAUACCGGAUAGGAGCUCCUGCUGCAUGGUGGGGGUUGGAAAGUUUCGGCGGUUGGGGAUGGACUCGCGGCUUAUCAGCUUGUUGGUGGGGUAGUGGCUUACCAAGGCUUUGACGGGUAGCCGGCCUGAGAGGGUGACCGGCCACAUUGUGACUGAUAUACGGCACAGACUCCUACGGGAGGCAGCAGUGGGGAAUAUUGCACAAUGGGCGGAAGCCUGAUGCAGCAACGCCGCGUGCGGGAUGACGGCCUUCGGGUUGUAAACCGCUUUCGCCUGUGACGAAGCGUGAGUGACGGUAAUGGGUAAAGAAGCACCGGCUAACUACGUG
rnacentral:rRNA from 1 species